rnacentral:rRNA from 1 species
GACGAACGCUGGCGGCGUGCCUAAUACAUGCAAGUUGAGCGCUGAAGGUUGGUACUUGUACCGACUGGAUGAGCAGCGAACGGGUGAGUAACGCGUGGGGAAUCUGCCUUUGAGCGGGGGACAACAUUUGGAAACGAAUGCUAAUACCGCAUAAAAACUUUAAACACAAGUUUUAAGUUUGAAAGAUGCAAUUGCAUCACUCAAAGAUGAUCCCGCGUUGUAUUAGCUAGUUGGUGAGGUAAAGGCUCACCAAGGCGAUGAUACAUAGCCGACCUGAGAGGGUGAUCGGCCACAUUGGGACUGAGACACGGCCCAAACUCCUACGGGAGGCAGCAGUAGGGAAUCUUCGGCAAUGGACGAAAGUCUGACCGAGCAGCGCCGCGUGAGUGAAGAAGGUUUUCGGAUCGUAAAACUCUGUUGGUAGAGAAGAACGUUGGUGAGAGUGGAAAGCUCAUCAAGUGACGGUAACUACCCAGAAAGGGACGGCUAACUACGUG